rnacentral:lncRNA from 1 species
AUCCAUAAAAACCAACCCAACUGGCAGUUUUAGAUUCAUUAUCAAAAAGACCAGAACGAGAUGAGUCAGGACAAAACAAGUAUAGGAUUUUAGUGUGAUUCCCUUUUGGUUGUUUCCUCCCUCCCUCCCUCCAUUCUUUCUUCUAUCCUACUUUAAUUUCUCAAACACUACUAUACCCUACAUAAUAUAAACCAGGACAAGGCC